rnacentral:rRNA from 1 species
UGCUAAUAGUGUCUAGCACUCUCUUUUGAGGUCAGGAAAAAUUCUUCUUAGAGGGACUGGUCGACUCUUAGUUGCACGAAAAAGAGCAAUAACAGGUCUGUGAUGCCCUUAGAUGUUCUGGGCCGCACACGCGCUACACUGAAUAGAUCAACGUGUUCCCCCUUCCCGAGAGGGACGGGUAAACCGCUGAACCCUAUUCGUGGUAGGGAUCGGGGCUUGCAAUUGUUCCCCGUAAACCAGGAAUUCCUAGUAGGCGCAAGUCAUAAGCUUGUGUCGAUUACGUCCCUGCCCUUUGUACACACCGCCCGUCGCUACUACCGAUUGAACGUUUUAGUGAGGUCCUCGGACUGUUUGGUAGGCGGAUCGCUCUGCCUGCCUGGCGGGAAAACAACCAAACUGUAGCGUUUAAAGGAAGUAAAAGUCGUAACAAGG